GCACUGCUGAGGAGUCCCACAAUAGGACGAAACGGGCAUCCAGUGC
rfam:Schistosoma curassoni strain Dakar, Senegal genome assembly, scaffold: SCTD_scaffold0014825